CUUAAUGAAUUGCUUGGAGAAGAAGUGUCAAAAAGCAUUGAGAUUGUGCACUCUAAUGAUGGAUCUGGAAUUGGAGCUGCUCUACUUGCUGCCUCGCAUUCACAGUAUCGUUGAGACAUAAGACAUCCUGAUAACCAUGGGAAAGAUUUCUGCUUUUGUUUUUUGUGGGGCUUCAUUGCAACCUCUUGCUCAUGUUUUUUAUUGAUCUUCUUCUUCAACAUUGAUUUAGA
rnacentral:misc_RNA from 1 species